rnacentral:lncRNA from 1 species
UAUUUUUAAACUUAUUUUAUAUUUUGAAGAUUUAUUGUUUUUAGAAUGUUUGGGCGUUGUAUUAGGAAAGCCGCAGCAGAGGCGUAGCUAGGGGGCUGGCAUGGUACCGGCCCAUUAAAAUGAAAAAUUAUUAUUCAGGUCCUUUAAAAAUUUUUAGAAUUUUAAAUUAAUCAAGAUAAAAUUGUAUUUUAGCCCCCUU